GGUUGUGCUCGCACACACUCACACAUGCUCACUCACACAUGCUCCACGGCAGCAAGGGGCGCUACUGAGUCCAUUUGGGAAGGCGGGAGGUUGAGCAGAGCAUGGAACAGCCCCUGCCAGCCUGAUGACAGGUGUUUCUAGCGAUCCAGCCAUCUGUUACCCGAACUAAUUUCACAAUGAGCGGCCAACAGAGGCCAGAGUAUGCACACAUAGAAACUGCUGCACGGAACUUGCUGUCUCUUUUAACAGCAACAGUCAGCCAAGGGCAAGUUCAGGAUCAAGGCCAGCCCCAGCCCCAGGUUCAGGUUCAGGAUCGAGGCCAGCCCCAGCCAGGGAACUCGUCAGGAGUUGAGAGUGAGGCCAGCCAAUGUCCAGCAGGAGAUGACAAAGUCUUUUCCAGGUCUCUUCAGAAGAGAGCAAACCAGUGGCAAACGUAGAUUCCCUGCGCCACUGAGAACAGUUUCAGCCACAUCCACAAAGACCCUUAAUGUACAGUUUUAUUUGCUCCCAAAACCCAUUAGCAGAACUCCACAAGGGACUCAGGAGCUCAGGCUGUUGAUGGCAGGCCUAGGUAAACGCCUUAUAGCAUUGCCUGAACAGAGCAACCAUGCAGAGAUUUCAACAGUUCUUUCGGCUGAAUACCCGAAACUGGAGACUUUGACUGGUGGAUGGCUAAUUUAUAAAGCAUCGGGACGAAGUGGCCAGAGAAAACUUUCUGUGAUCCCACCUGAGUCCGAAGGCUACACAGCAAAAAUGCUAAAGUGAAUUUCAAAUAAUGGAAAACACACGCUUUUCAUUAUUCCACUUCAAGAGGAACUAGACACCACGCCUCUUCCCGCUGAUGCCCCUGAGUUCAGCAAAAUGCCUACAUCUCAAUGCAGGACCUGUGGAGAAACCUUACCCCUACAGUUUCUUGCUCUACAUGUUGAGUCUUGUAGCAAGUCUGCAGAAGAUACUGAACAAGAAAUUGAUGAAGAUUCAGAUGGAAAGCAAGACCAUGAUGAUCAAGACAAUACUUCCCCAGUCGUGAGUGAGAAAAAGUGUCCCAUAUGCCAAGUAGUGUACCCUGCUGACAUCAUCGAGAUGCAUGCCAGUGCCUGUGUUGAGAGGAAAUUGCUGUGUCACAAGGCUGUUCGAUGGAGAGCCAGACCACCUGCAGACGACUUCAUCGUCUGCAUUCUUGGUUGAGAGUGACCUUUUUCUGAUGGUGGGCAGAAUCAUUGGCCAUUGCUUCCUGCAUGGAGGUCCUGCACUGACGGGCCUAAGCCCAGCUGUUGUUCAUAUCUUGUGUGGAGGCACAGCUGAAACUGCCACCAUUAGCAUUCGUGACUGUCCAGACAUGGAUCUAAGGGAGAAAAUCCAGAUACUCGAAGGGAACUCCGAACUCUCAGCUGCUGAGAAGGAGAGUGUGAACACCUUGUGUCUGGCAUGGGACCUUCCUGUGAUGUCUAACGACAAGCGGCGAUGGCUCUUUGAGAGACUUCUUUAUCAUGCGGUAAUUGGACGAGCCAUGAAGCAAAUCAAGCAAAUCAGAAAAGGACUCAAAGACACAAUGCUGUCGCCCUUCAUUAAUCAACGUCCAGAUGCAGCUCCAAUUCUUUUUCCACAGGAGUCAAGUGCUAUAGCGGCCAUACCGCAUAAAAAUAUAAGAAAGAAAUAUAACGCAAAGUGCCGCCGAGGCACCCGUCAGCGAAUCUUACGCAUGGGUAAAAAUCAAGGUCCGAGCAAAAGUCGUUUCAGUGCAAUUUAUUGUCAACACAUCAAGCAUUUCUCUUCCUUCUUACCCGAUGGUAAAAAACCAUAAGCCUACCGGGUGCGCCGCUCACUACCACCUGUUUCCCAUAUUUAUAAUGAGCCGGUCUCCCCUCCCCCGGUGCCCAAAGGCUGUCUUUACAAAACAGAGGCAUGGUACAACUUAUUUGAUCAACUUAAAUAAGAAUUAAAAGGAAGAUUUACUAUAAACAAAAAAGAACAAUAAAAUAAAUGGAUAACUAUUAAAUAAUAUAAGCUCCUAGAUAUGGCUUCAUCAAGUGCUGUGUUGACCCCAGAGGUAAAUACGUCUAAUAAGACCGGUAGUAUUGAUCAUAGCUGGAAAUGAAGUGUUCAAUCAGAAACAUUUUCCAAACAGCAGAAAAAUUAUUUAUUCCAGAUGGCUUGUCUGUUUGAUGUUUUUGUAUGUAGAGCAUUCUUGACCGCAUCAACUGGCCGACCAUGAUUGACGUUGAUGAUGAUGAUGAUGAUGAUGAUGAUGAUGAUGAUGAAUGCUCUUUGGAAGAUAAGAGCCGUGUCACAGGAUACCUUCGUCGCUUCAUUCAAGAUGCAUCCAGUGAUGAGUUGAAGGAACUUGCAAAGUUCUGGGUUGGACGGGAGGCUCCUUCCAGUACCCUCACAGUGGAGGUGAUUAACGGUGGCCUACCAAAGUCAUCCACAUGCUUUGAAACACUCCGUAUUCCUGCCCACUACCAAGACUACCCAACAUUCAAGAAAGAGUUGAUGGCGUGUCUUAGCACAAAUGACACUGGAUUUGGGCUGGUGUAAAUGUUGGCAGCAAAAUGUGUGACUGUUAUAUCACAGCUUGUACCUAAAGCUAUAGUCAACUGUUCAAUGUUCUUGUUUUGCUCUUAGUUAUGGAAGUAAUAUUCUGUUAGUUCUGUGCAAAUUUCCAGGCUAAGUUUAUUAUACAAGAUUUCAAAA